ACAGCCACAACCAAAGUCCCGGAGAUCCGUGAUGUAACAAGGAUUGAGCGAAUCGGUGCCCACUCCCACAUCCGGGGACUGGGGCUGGACGAUGCCUUGGAGCCUCGGCAGGCUUCGCAGGGCAUGGUGGGUCAGCUGGCGGCACGGCGGGCGGCCGGCGUGGUGCUGGAGAUGAUCCGGGAAGGGAAGAUUGCCGGGCGGGCAGUCCUUAUUGCUGGCCAGCCGGGCACGGGGAAGACGGCCAUCGCCAUGGGCAUGGCGCAGGCCCUGGGCCCUGACACGCCAUUCACAGCCAUCGCCGGCAGUGAAAUCUUCUCCCUGGAGAUGAGCAAGACCGAGGCGCUGACGCAGGCCUUCCGGCGGUCCAUCGGCGUUCGCAUCAAGGAGGAGACGGAGAUCAUCGAAGGGGAGGUGGUGGAGAUCCAGAUUGAUCGACCAGCAACAGGGACGGGCUCCAAGGUGGGCAAACUGACCCUCAAGACCACAGAGAUGGAGACCAUCUACGACCUGGGCACCAAGAUGAUUGAGUCCCUGACCAAGGACAAGGUCCAGGCCGGGGACGUGAUCACCAUCGACAAGGCGACGGGCAAGAUCUCCAAGCUGGGCCGCUCCUUCACACGCGCCCGCGACUACGACGCUAUGGGCUCCCAGGUGCGGCCGGGACUCCCGGGAUCCCCUCGCCCCCAGUACUGGGGUGUUUUCAUCUCCUCCAUCACCCCCUUGACCCAUGGGGUCUGGAUCUUCCUGUUACCCUGACUGUUUGUCCUGGUACUCCUGGGUCUUCCCUGUAACCCUAGGACAGCAGGGCCCCUCAGCCUGGCACUAUAGCUUCGCAUGGCCACAUGUGGCCUGUGGCUUCUAAGGUCCUCCGGGAGCCCCCGUGACCCUCAGCGCUCUGGAAUGUCCCUAGUCCUGACUACCUCCUGGGCCUGGGGUUUCCAGAUGACCCCAUUUAGCCUCCCAGCUCCAUUUCCUGGAGCUCCAGUCUCCCCCAGACAGAGGGCUUUAGGGGCCCCCUUCAUGCCCUUCCCUGCCCUGUCUCCUCCGUUCUUCCCCCACCCCCACCCCAUAGACCAAGUUCGUGCAGUGCCCAGAUGGGGAGCUCCAGAAACGCAAGGAGGUGGUGCACACCGUGUCCCUGCACGAGAUCGACGUCAUCAACUCUCGCACCCAGGGCUUCCUGGCGCUCUUCUCAGGUGACACAGGGGAGAUCAAGUCAGAAGUCCGUGAGCAGAUCAAUGCCAAGGUGGCUGAGUGGCGCGAGGAGGGCAAGGCGGAGAUCAUCCCUGGAGUGCUGUUCAUCGACGAGGUCCACAUGCUGGACAUCGAGAGCUUCUCCUUCCUCAACCGGGCCCUGGAGAGUGACAUGGCGCCUGUCCUGAUCAUGGCCACCAACCGUGGCAUCACGCGAAUCCGGGGCACCAGCUACCAGAGCCCUCACGGCAUCCCCAUAGACCUGCUGGACCGGCUGCUUAUCGUCUCCACCACCCCCUACAGCGAGAAAGACACGAAGCAGAUCCUCCGCAUCCGGUGCGAGGAAGAAGAUGUGGAGAUGAGUGAGGACGCCUACACGGUGCUGACCCGCAUCGGGCUGGAGACGUCACUGCGCUACGCCAUCCAGCUCAUCACAGCUGCCAGCUUGGUGUGCCGGAAACGCAAGGGUACAGAAGUGCAGGUGGAUGACAUCAAGCGGGUCUACUCACUCUUCCUGGACGAGUCCCGCUCCACGCAGUACAUGAAGGAGUACCAGGACGCCUUCCUCUUCAAUGAACUCAAAGGCGAGACCAUGGACACCUCCUGAGCUGGAUGUCAUCCCCCGACCCCACCCUGUUUUCCACCAGAGUUCUGACACU
rnacentral:sRNA from 1 species